rnacentral:rRNA from 1 species
CAGGGUGGCCAUACCGGCUUGUCAAAGCCUGAUCUCGUCAGAUGUCAGAAGCUAAGCAGGGCUGAGCCUGGUUAGUACUUGGAUGGGAGAAUGCUAGGAAUACCAGGUGCCACAGUGG